AUUGAACGCUGGCGGCAGGCUUAACACAUGCACGUCGAGCGAGCGGCGGACGGGUGAGUAAUGUCUGGGAAACUGCCUGAUGGAGGGGGAUAACUACUGGAAACGGUAGCUAAUACCGCAUACCAUCAGAUGUGCCCAGAUGGGAUUAGCUAGUUGUGGGGGUAAUGGCUCACCUAGGCGACGAUCCCUGGCUGGUCUGAGAGGAUGACCAGCCACACGGGAACUGGGACACGGUCCAGACUCCUACGGGAGGCAGAAGUGGGGAAUAUUGCACAAUGGGCGCAAUCCUGAUGCAGCCAUACCGCGUGUGUGAAGAAGGCCUUCGGGUUGUAAAGCACUUUCAGCGAGGAGGCGUUACUCGCAGAAGAAGCACCGGCUAACUCCGUGCCAGCAGCCGCGGUAAUUC
rnacentral:rRNA from 1 species